CUACGGGGCGCUGCAGUGGGGAAUAUUGGACAAUGGGCGAAAGCCUGAUCCAGCAAUACCGCGUGAAUGAUGAAGGCCUUAGGGUUGUAAAGUUCUUUUAGUAGGGAAGAUAAUGACGGUACCUACAGAAAAAGCCCCGGCUAACUCCGUGCCAGCAGGCCGCGGUAAGACGGAGGGGGCUAGCGUUGUUCGGAAUUACUGGGCGUAAAGGGCGCGUAGGCGGAUUAGUAAGUUGGAAGUGAAAUCCCGAGGCUUAACCUCGGAACUGCUUUCAAAACUGUUAGUCUAGAGUGAAGUAGGGGAUGAUGGAAUUCCUAGUGUAGAGGUGAAAUUCUUAGAUAUUAGGAGGAACACCGGUGGCGAAGGCGGUCAUCUGGACUUCAACUGACGCUGAGGCGCGAAAGCGUGGGGAGCAAACAGGAUUAGAUACCCCUGUAGUC
rnacentral:rRNA from 1 species